CAACCUCUGACGAAGGGCGUGAACGUUG
rfam:Chryseobacterium solincola strain DSM 22468 contig03, whole genome shotgun sequence.